rnacentral:rRNA from 1 species
UACGAGGGGGGCAAGCGUUGUUCGGAAUUAUUGGGCGUAAAGGGCGCGUAGGCGGUUUGACAAGUCUGAUGUGAAAUCUAUGGGCUCAACCCAUAGCCUGCAUUAGAAACUGUCGGGCUUGAGUAUGGGAGAGGUGAGUGGAAUUUCCGGUGUAGCAGUGAAAUGCGUAGAUAUCGAGAGGAACACCAGUGGCGAAGGCGAGUCCCUGGACAGAUCCUGACGCUGAGGCACGAAAGCUAGGGGAGCAAACAGG